AUUGAACGCUGGCGGCAGGCUUAACACAUGCAAGUCGAGCGAGCGGCGGACGGGUGAGUAAUGUCUGGGAAACUGCCUGAUGGAGGGGGCUAACUACUGGAAACGGUAGCUAAUACCGCAUACCAUCAGAUGUGCCCAGAUGGGAUUAGCUAGUAGGUGGGGUAAUGGCUCACCUAGGCGACGAUCCCUAGCUGGUCUGAGAGGGUGACCGGCCACACUGGAACUGAGACACGGUCCAGACUCCUACGGGAGGCAGCAGUGGGGAAUAUUGCGCAAUGGGCGCAAGCCUGAUACAGCCACGCCGCGUGUGUGAAGAAGGCCUUCGGGUUGUAAAGCACUUUUAGCGGGGAGGCGUUACUCGCAGAAGAAGCACCGGCUAACUCCGUGCCAGCAGCCGCGGUAAUUC
rnacentral:rRNA from 1 species